CCAGACUCCUACGGGAGGCAGCAGUGAGGAAUAUUGGUCAAUGGGCGAGAGCCUGAACCAGCCAAGUCGCGUGAAGGAUGAAGGAUCUAUGGUUUGUAAACUUCUUUUAUAUGGGAAUAAAGUGAGGAACGUGUUCCUUUUUGUAUGUACCAUAUGAAUAAGCAUCGGCUAACUCCGUGCCAGCAGCCGCGGUAAUACGGAGGAUGCGAGCGUUAUCCGGAUUUAUUGGGUUUAAAGGGUGCGUAGGCGGAACAUUAAGUCAGCGGUAAAAUCGAGGGGCUCAACCCCUUUAAGCCGUUGAAACUGGUGAUCUUGAGUGGGCGAGAAGUAUGCGGAAUGCGUGGUGUAGCGGUGAAAUGCAUAGAUAUCACGCAGAACUCCGAUUGCGAAGGCAGCAUACCGGCGCCCGACUGACGCUGAGGCACGAAAGCGUGGGGAUCGAACAGGAUUAGAUACCCUGGUAG
rnacentral:rRNA from 1 species